UGCUUACUCUUCAGCUCCCUCGCGCGCAGCGUACUGAUGCCGGCACCGUACGAUGACGUCAUCUUCCGGCAUCAGUGCGGUGCGCGAGGGAGCUGAAGAGGAAGCACACAGA